UACAGAGGGGGCAAGCGUUGUUCGGAAUUACUGGGCGUAAAGGGCGCGUAGGCGGCCUGUUAAGUCGGACGUGAAAUCCCCGGGCUCAACCUGGGAAUUGCGAUGGAGACUGCAAGGCUAGAAUCUGGCAGAGGGGGGUAGAAUUCCACGUGUAGCAGUGAAAUGCGUAGAGAUGUGGAGGAACACCGAUGGCGAAGGCAGCCCCCUGGGUCAAGAUUGACGCUCAUGCACGAAAGCGUGGGGAGCAAACAGG
rnacentral:rRNA from 1 species